ensembl:lncRNA
AAGGCUUAUUGGCAAUCGCCAGAGGCAGGAGAGAGGCAACUGAUUUUAUCCCACCGAGUCCCAGGAGAGGGCAGGGCCCUGCCAGCACCUUGCUUUCAGACUUCUAGCCUCUGGAAGGGCUUCCCUGGUGGCUCAAAUGUCAACAGUUACGGUGACCGACGAAGCAACCCAGAGUGGACUUCCUUCCUUCGACUGGACUCCACAAGGAACUGGAGCUUUGGUACCAGCAGCGGCCCCUUGCGCCCAUCUGCCUCCUCGAGGAGUGCAGACGAAUUUGGUACCACUGUCUUGGUCAAUAUACACAGAGAGAAAUAACAUACUGAACACCAAUAAACGCAACUUAACUGUCAGUUGACUUCCUACUUCCUAAGAGCUACAUCGAAAGCCAAAGGCAGUGAGGGGGCCACACGUCAAAGAAGUGAGGACUUAAAUCCUACAGUUGCAAGGAACUGAAUUCUGCCAAGAAUAAGCUUGGAAAAUGACUCUUCCCCAGGGCCUCCAAUGAGAAUUCAGCUGGGCCAUAACCCUGAUUGCAUCCUUGUGGUAACUUCAGCAGAGCCCUGUCCAGCCAUGCUGGGCCUCCAUACAGAACUGAGAAAAGGCUGCUGCUUGUGUGUGCUUGAAUUAAAUCCGUUAUAACCAAAGAAGGGAUUUGAACAUGGAGUAAAGUUGGCUUGACUGCCUGUAUCCUGACCCCAUCAAGCAUGGAAUCACUACUAACAAAAUACGUGAAACAUGAUCAAAAACCCUGGAGGCUUAAGACAGCAACUCCAUUGACUCCAACAGGCACUUCAACAGAUUUUAACAGAUGUGAGAUGAAUGACACAAAAUAAAUAAAACCUAAUGUGAACAAUCAGCCACAAGAUGGCAUUUGAAUACUAAUGUAUUUAAAGUUUGGGGCAGUAACUUAAACACAUGGCUAUUUUAAUCUUUUCCCUUCCCCGGUCACUUUUUCUCAUAUUGCCAUGUAAGAAGAUCACAACUUUAUUUUCCCUGUAGCCUAAGUCUUAAACAUUUAUUUAUCAGCUUACUUUUAAUCUCUUGUGAUGGUUGAUUUUAUAUGUCAAUUUCACUGGGUCAUGAGGUGCUCAUUUUCUGUGUGUUUCUGUGGGGGUAUUUUUGGAUGAAAUUAACAUUAAAUUGGUAGACUGAAUAAAGCAGAUUGCUCUUUAUAACA